CGAUCCGCGGCGGGAGAGACCUUCUGCCACCAACCGGGCAGUGGGCGCCGUAGGAGCAAACCCUCCCCGGGAAUCUCUCAGGCCCCUGUACCGCCGCGACGAG
rnacentral:ncRNA from 2 species